UACAGAGGGGGCAAGCGUUGUUCGGAAUUACUGGGCGUAAAGGGCGCGUAGGUGGCCUUCUAAGUUGAACGUGAAAUCCCUGGGCUCAACCCAGGAACUGCGUCCAAGACUGGGAGGCUUGAGUCCGGGAGAGGGAUGCGGAAUUCCAGGUGUAGCGGUGAAAUGCGUAGAUAUCGGGAGGAACACCAGUGGCGAAGGCGACUACCUGGCCUGUUCUUGACGCUGAGGCGCGAAAGCUAGGGGAGCAAACGGG
rnacentral:rRNA from 1 species